AUAUUUUGAAAUUGGUGAUCCAUUUAUCAAAUUAAAAAAAAAACCGGUAACCAUUAUUACAAACCGGUUCAAAUAAACGGUUACCAUUUUUCAAUAAUCAUUUCAAAUCAACCAAAAACACAAAUUUCAAAAUCCCUAAUUCUCAAAAAUCCAAACUUUUUUCAUUUUUUUUUCUCUUCAUCAUUCUUCAAAUUCCAAACUCAUCAAAACCUGCAUCGUAUUGUAAAUGGUAUUGAAAGUUGUGAUGUUUGCUUUCAUGUUGGUGUUCUUUAACAAUGUUUAGGUCAAAUUCUGUGAGUAAUAAAUUUGUAAUUUUGUAAUUGUGUGUUGUAUUAUGGAGUUAUUUUUUUUCCAUUUUCUUAGCUUUAAUUGGUUGUGAAUUGUUUCUAUUGAUUUCUGUUUUUAAAGAUUUGUAUAGAAAAUAUAGUAUUAGUAUACAAUUUGUUUUUCAAUGUUUUUUUCCUGUAUAUUUGGAUAUUUGCAAAGAAAACAAACUGAAAACAAGUUGGCAAUUUCGUCCCUAUUUAUUUGUGAGUUUGAAAAAAGUCAACGAAAAUUUUAU
rnacentral:lncRNA from 1 species